GGCUGGGUCUCCCUCCCUUGCCAAGCCCCGCCUGUGAAACUGAAUAACGAAGAUGACUCAACAAUGCCUGCCCCUCUCUGACUGCACCGUCCCGGCGCUCCCACCGCCGCCGCCGCCCAGUAGAGCCCUCGGGGCGGUCCCCACCAACGGCGCAGGCCGCCGGGACCGGGAAGAAGCAGCUGCGGCCACCGUGCCCGUGCCUUUGCGCGCCCGGCCGCCAGGGGCCCCAGCAGCCCGGCCGCCGAGAUGCCCAGCCCGCCCGGGCUCCGGGCGCUGUGGCUUUGCACCCCAGCCCGACCAGGGGCCCACCGCCUGCCCGUCCCCCUGACACUGCCAGGAUGGCAUCGUGCUGUCUGCUGACUGCUCUGAGUUCGGGCUGUCCGUCGUACCGGGGGACCUGGAUCUCCUGACGGCUUACCUGUCAGGUGCUGCAUGAUCCUCCAUAACCCUGGGGCAGAUGUUUCUUCCUCACCAAAGGGGUGAAGGGGCAUUCAAGCCCUCCCUGCUGUGGCUCCCCAGCCCUCUCCGUGGCAAGGCUGCCCCAAGACAGCAGGAAAAGAAGCAGCUUACGCCCAGCACAGUGGAAAGUGGCCAUCGUUCUUUUCCUGCCUCGCUGUCUAGUUGGAUAAAUGGGCUCUUGUCACAUUCCCCAGCCUUGCACACAUUUUUCAUUCUCAUUCUGGAGACUGGGCCUCAUUUAUUUCCCCAGCUGGGUUCUCUGCCUGGACAAAUGGGCCCAGAGCUGAAGUGCCUCCACCAUCAGCCUCCAUCUAUAACUGCCACCCGUGCCUGAGGCUUGUGCCUUGAGUCCCAGCCUGAGGCUGAGGCAGGCUGCUUGCCCACAUGCCUGCCAGGUGGCCUGCCUGACUGGCCCUCUGCCUGGGUGAUACCUGCCCCUGGAAUCCGAGAUGUCAGACUCUACUCACGUUGAGGCUUCUUGCGGUUGGUUGGUGUAUGGGGCUGGCUCUAACCUGCCAUCUUCCAUGCUGACCUCUGGAAUCCAUGCUUCCUCCACCAGGACGCCAUUCACCUGGGGUGCCAGCAUCUUCUCAGGUCCAAGACCCGGACAGCGCACUCCACCCACACGGAUGUAAUUCCCAGCUCUGCCUGCAUUUCAGGGUGCUGCUCCCCAGCCGCCCGCCUCCUGUGACUCACGUUCCCUGUUAUUGCUGCAAGGUGAAUCUGGAGUCUGGGAGCCCACACAGAGCCUUGCAGUUCUCAGCAGCUCUUAGAGUCACCGUCCACAGAGUGGCCAUUAUGGAGUGGCAAUGAGUGAGACGUCAGUGACCUCCCUCAGCGGAAGGGGAUAUUUUAAUCCACUUUAUUCCAAAAGCAAAUGAUGCAACUCAGAGUUUUCUUCUUUCUUCAGUUUUGUAUACAAAAAUAUAUAAAAUGUAAUGUUUAUAUUUCCAAUUAUAUAAUCACUUAAAUUAUGUUAAUUGAUCCUGCAAAUAAUUUUAUGAAUGUAGCAAUUACUUUAUGCAAAACUGUCAGGAAAUAUUCUAAGAUUAUGUUGAUGUUAAAAUAUUUAUAAAUAGUACAAAUGAGCA